GACAGCAUGAAAGAAAUUGGUAGCAAUUGCCUGAAUAAUGAAUUUAACUUUUUUAAAAGACAUAUCUGUGAUGCUAAUAAGGAAGGUAUGUUUUUAUUCCGUGCUGCUCGCAAGUUGAGGCAAUUUCUUAAAAUGAAUAGCACUGGUGAUUUUGAUCUCCACUUAUUAAAAGUUUCAGAAGGCACAACAAUACUGUUGAACUGCACUGGCCAGGUUAAAGGAAGAAAACCAGCUGCCCUGGGUGAAGCCCAACCAACAAAGAGUUUGUCCUCAGGACUACAGAAGCAGUUCACAUUUUACAGAUCAAAUGGACCACACACACAUUCUUUCCACUGCAAAUUGUCCUUUCUCCACUAGAAGGUAUCAGUUUCUCCAAAUAAAUUGUAUCAACUUGAGGGCAGACACUUAAUUACAUCUUAUUAUCUCGAUCCCCAUCAUUGCAUAUCCAGAAAGAGCACAUAAAGCGUUUUUCAAUGCUUAUUUUAGUUGAUGGACUAUUUGUUUCUUUGUUUUGACCAAUAAAACUGAAUAAAGAUAACUGAGGGGAAAAAAAUUAACAACUAAUCAGGAAAUAAACUUUUUUCAGAUUUAUGAAAUAAUUUGUUGACAUGCUCUACAGGAGUGACCUUAACAUACCUAAUGGUAACUAAAACCGCUCUCUUUCAUUACAAAAUUCCCAGCAUCUAUCCUACUAUGAUACUAUUUGAAGAUAGGCACCAAU
rnacentral:sRNA from 1 species